rfam:Cajanus cajan CcLG02_276, whole genome shotgun sequence.
AACCCAUGAUUUGGGCAUUUUCUCAAUAAAAACUUAUAUCUCUCCCAAGCUUCACACAAAGGCUCAUCAAUGCCUUGAGAGAAAGUUGCAAUUGCUGAUUUGGUGCU